AGCGAACGCUGGCGGCGUGCUUAACACAUGCAAGUCGAACGUGAAAGGGAGCAAUCCUGAGUAAAGUGGCGAACGGGUGAGUAACACGUAGGUAAUCUACCCUAAAGUCUGGAAUAACCUGCCGAAAGGCGGGCUAAUACUGGAUAGAGAGAUGGAACACAUAAAGGGUUUGUCGGGAAAGGGAGGAAGCAAUUCCCUUUGAUUUAGGAUGAGCCUCCGUCCCAUCAGCUAGUUGGUAGAGUAAAACCCUACCAAGGCAAUGACGGGUAGCUGGUCUGAUAGGAUGAUCAGCCACACUGGAACUGAAACACGGUCCAGACUCCUACGGGAGGCUGCAGUGUGGAAUCUUGCGCAAUGGGCGAAAGCCUGACGCAGCCACGCCGCGUGAGUGAAGAAGGCCUUCGGGUUGUAAAGCUCUGUCGCCCGGGACGAAAAGCUUUAAGGUGAAUAGCCUUAGAGUGUGACGGUACCGGGAAAGGAAGCACCGGCUAACUCCGUGCCAGCCGCCGCCGUAA
rnacentral:rRNA from 1 species